ensembl:lncRNA
GCCGGGAGCCGGGAGCCGCAGCGACGACGCUGGGAGCUCAGAGCUAUGCGUCCGGGGUCUCGGAGAGCUCGAGGGUCGCCCACGUGGGGGCUGCUGCUGCUACUGGGACUAUCGUGGCCCGUGUGGGGGACGAAGAAGUUUCAAGGAAACACCCUUGGAAAGCCAGUCGUUCUGCAUUGGAGCCUAGAUGGACGACCCCAGCGCAUGGUCACCCUGGAGGAGCCGGGAGGAUGCGGAGUGAACCUAGAAGGCUCUGUCAAAUGGCUGCUGUUAGAACAGACAUUCUGAGUUUGGGGACAUCUUUGCAUGUUUGCAGCCCGCACCCACCAUGGCAAGUGGAGGUCUUCUGCCCUGUGCCUCUGUGCUCUCCCCGUGAACUCCCUUGUCAGCUACCUCCAUAUUCCUCCUGCUCCCUGGCAGGCAGAGGG